GAUGAACGCUGGCGGCGUGCUUAACACAUGCAAGUCGAACGAAGCAAUUUAACGGAAGUUUUCGGAUGGAAGUUAAAUUGACUGAGUGGCGGACGGGUGAGUAACGCGUGGGUAACCUGCCUCAUACAGGGGGAUAACAGUUAGAAAUGACUGCUAAUACCGCAUAAGCGCACAGGAUCGCAUGGUCUGGUGUGAAAAACUCCGGUGGUAUGAGAUGGACCCGCGUCGGAUGUGCUCGUUGGCGGGGUAACGGCCUACCAAGGCGAUGAUCAGGAGUCGAACUGGGGGGGUGACCGACCACAUGGGGACUGAGACACGGCCCAAACGCCUACGGGAGGCAGCAGUGGGGAAUAUUGCAGAAUGGGCGAAAGCCUGACGCAGCGACGCCGCGUGAGCGAAGAAGUAUUUCGGUAGGUAAAGCUCUAUCAGCAGGGAAGAAAAAUGACGGUACCUGACUAAGAAGCACCGGCUAAAUACGUGCCAGCCGCCGCCGUAAGAC
rnacentral:rRNA from 1 species